GCUGAAACUCCCCCUGCUCUGAGCAGCCCCUUGGGGAGCGCCCCGCGGUGGGCGAUGCCUCAGACAGGUGCCUGCUGGAGGGGGCUGGGUCCUGCGCAGGACUGAGUGUCCCUCCGUGUCCCAUGAUGGGAGGCGCUCGGGGUGAACUGUGACAGGAGCUGUACGACAUAAAGGUUUUCUCUUUGUUCCUGCCAGAGCAUUGCAGAGCCACCUCGGCUCAGACACGCCUUCAACCUCCGGCGGCCUGGAGCUCUGGGGUUUUUUGGGGUUUGGCUAUUUUAUACUGGUUCAAGGCAAACUCACUCUUUCGUUACAAGAUGCAGCAUUUCACACAUCAACUGGAACUGUUUCCUGACUGUAGUGUGACUCUUGUUUUGUUUAAUGAUGUCAAAAAUUCUGUUGCUCUAAGAAAAAAAGCAAUGGAAGGAUCUAUUGAAGGAGCAUUAAUAAAUCCUGCAAUGAUUGUUGAUCCAUUUCAGAUUCUUGUGGCAACAAACAAAGCCGUUCACCUGCACAGGAUUGGUAAAAUGAAGACUAGAACUCUUAAUGCAGAAAUUAUUUUCAACCUUUCCCCAAACAACAAUAUUUCAGAUGCAUUGAAAAAGUUUGGUAUUUCAGACAAUGAUUCUGCAGUGCUCAUUGUUCUGAUUGAAGAUAAAGAAAAAACUGUAAAUCUGGAAAGCAUAAUAUCUCAAGUGGAAGGCCAUCAGGUUUCUCUAGCAGAACUCCACAAAAUAACAGACAUAGCCAAAGUUAAAAAGGGAAUUUCAUUUUUCAAUGGAUGUUGAUCCAGCAGCAUCCAAAACUGUCACUGGCUUCAAUGGGAGUUUUGGAUACACAAGGAAUGCUAGGUUGAGUCCUUCUGAGGUUUCUCACAACAGCAGAUGUACAGACUUACUCCACAGGAAGAAAAAAUUGGCACAUUACUUGAUGGCAUCAUUUGCAGAAUGUCAACAAAAGAUAUUGCAUGAAAACAUUCAAAUAAAAGAAAAAAUCCACUUUAAAGCUACAGGAACAACUAUUGCAACCAUUCUUAUUAGUUUUGGACUCUGUCUCAAUACUAAAAUACUUUGCACUCCUCUAUUUUAUUUUGCUUGGAAGAGUAAGAAGAGUCUCUAAAACAUUGUGAAAGAAACUGACAGAACAUAAACCACUAAAGGAACACUGAAGCAAUAUUUUAUCUUAAGCUUCAUUCAACUUCAGAAAUGCGUCACAUAGUGCAGUACUGAGCAGAGUUUGAAUUCUCACAACUUGUACAGAUUCUACUCAUUGUUUUAUUUACAAAUAUUUUUUAAAAUAAUUUUUCCCAAUAUCUUUUAACUGGUCAUAAACAUAAGGUUUCAAAAUCUAUUACUACUUACCUUUGUCGUAAAGUGCUUUAAGAUACUCAGAUAUGCCACUAACAGUGCAAACUAUUUUUAUUAUCCCCAAGGCUUGCAAUAACUUGGUUUGCAUGAGCACGGAGAAUAAAGGAUACGGAGACAUUUUUA